GACGAACGCUGGCGGCGUGCCUAAUACAUGCAAGUAGGACGCAGUUGCGAACGGGUGAGUAACGCGUAGGUAACUACCUAUUAGAGGGGGAUAACUAUUGGAAACGAUAGCUAAUACCGCAUACUAGUAGAUGGACCUGCGUUGUAUUAGCUAGUAGGUAGGGUAAUGGCCUACCUAGGCAAAGAUACAUAGCCGAGCUGAGGGGGGGAGCGGCCAAACUGGGACUGAGACACAUCCCAGACUCCUACGGGGGGCAGCGGUAGGGAAUCUGCGGCAAUGGGGGGAAACCUGACCGAGCAACGUCGCGGGAGUGAAGAAGGUUUUCGGAUGGUAAAGCUCUGUUAUUAAGGAAGCGGUACUUAACCAGAAAGGGACGGCUAACUACGUGCCAGCAGCCGCGGUAAUAC
rnacentral:rRNA from 1 species